rnacentral:rRNA from 1 species
CUACGGGUGGCACCAGUGGGGAAUUUUGCGCAAUGGGCGAAAGCCUGACGCAGCAAUACCGCGUGAGUGAAGAAGGCCUUUGGGUCGUAAAGCUCUUUUCUGAAGGAAGAUAGUGACGGUACUUCAGGAAUAAGCACCGGCUAACUCCGUGCCAGCAGCCGCGGUAACACGGAGGGUGCAAGCGUUGUUCGGAUUUACUGGGCGUAAAGGGCGCGUAGGCGGCAUAGCAAGUUAAGGGUGAAAUCCCGGGGCUUAACUCCGGAACUGCUCUUAAAACUGCUAAGCUAGAGAUAGUCAGAGGCGGGUGGAAUUCCUAGUGUAGAGGUGAAAUUCGUAGAUAUUAGGAGGAACACCGGUGGCGAAGGCGGCCCGCUGGGGCUUAUCUGACGCUAAGGCGCGAAAGCGUGGGGAGCAAACGGGAUUAGAUACCCCAGUAGUC